rnacentral:rRNA from 1 species
CACGGUAAACGAUGGAUGCCCGCUGUUUGCGAUAUAUUGUAAGCGGCCAAGCGAAAGCGUUAAGCAUCCCACCUGGGGAGUACGCCGGCAACGGUGAAACUCAAAGGAAUUGACGGGGGCCCGCACAAGCGGAGGAACAUGUGGUUUAAUUCGAUGAUACGCGAGGAACCUUACCCGGGCUUGAACUGCCAGCGAACGAUACAGAGAUGUUGAGGCCCUUCGGGGCGCUGGUGGAGGUGCUGCAUGGUUGUCGUCAGCUCGUGCCGUGAGGUGUCGGCUUAAGUGCCAUAACGAGCGCAACCCCUUUCGUCAGUUGCCAUCAGGUUAUGCUGGGCACUCUGGCGACACUGCCACCGUAAGGUGUGAGGAAGGUGGGGAUGACGUCAAAUCAGCACGGCCCUUACGUCCGGGGCUACACACGUGUUACAAUGGGUGGUACAGAGAGUCGGUCGCAGGCAAUUGCGGUCUAAUCAUGAAAGCCAUCCUCAGUUCGGAUUGGGGUCUGCAACCCGACC